rnacentral:ribozyme from 1 species
GUUGACGGGUGCGGGAUUUUUCCCGCAUUAAAACGCAAUCUCUGUCCGAAGCCAGA